UUGGGAAUAUUGCGCAAUGGACGACAGUCUGACGCAGCGACGCCGCGUGAAGGAAGAAGGCCUUCGGGUUGUAAACUUCUUUUUUAGGGGACGAUUGUGACGGUACCCUAAGAAUAAGGACCUGCUAACUACGUGCCAGCAGCAGCGGUAAUACGUAGGGUCCGAGCGUUAUCCGGAUUUAUUGGGCGUAAAGAGUAUGUAGGCGGUUUAGAAAGUUGGAUUUUAAAUCUCCAGGCUUAACUUGGAUUUUGGAUCCAAAACUUCUAAGCUUUGAGGAUAACAGGGGCAAGCGGAAUUAGUGGAGUAGCAGUGAAAUGCGUUGAUCUCACUAAGAACACCAAUGGCGAAGGCAGCUUGCUAGGUUAUAUCUGACGCUGAGAUACGAAAGCGUGGGGAGCGAACGGG
rnacentral:rRNA from 1 species